GACGAACGCUGGCGGCGUGCUUAACACAUGCAAGUCGAACGGAAAGGCCCUGCUCUUGUGGGGUGCUCGAGUGGCGAACGGGGGAGUAACACGUGAGUAACCUGCCCUUGACUGUGGGAGAACUUCAGGAAACUGGGGCUAAUACCGGAUAGGAGCUCCUGCUGCAUGGGGGGGGUUGGAAAGUUUCGGCGGUGGGGGAUGGACUCGCGGCUUAUCAGCUGGUUGGUGGGGUAGGUGCUUACCAGGGCUUUGACGGGUAGCCGGCCUGGGAGGGUGACCGGCCACAUUGGGACUGAGAUACGGCGCAGACUCCUACGGGAGGCAGCAGUGGGGAAUAUUGCACAAUGGGCGGAAGCCUGAUGCAGCAACGCCGCGUGCGGGAUGACGGCCUUCGGGUUGUAAACCGCUUUCGCCUGUGCCGAAGCGUGAGUGACGGUAAUGGGUAAGGAAGCACCGGCUAACUACGUG
rnacentral:rRNA from 1 species